UAAGGCUAGACACUGCAUCAUUCUUUUCAUAAAGCAAGGACUGGAGGCAUGUGGGGCCUGUAGCCAUGACGACAAUAAAACAGCUCCAAGCCUGAGCUGUAAGUAAGAAACUCGGCCUUGUCUCCAACCCUUCCUGCUCACAACUCGACUCUACAUGCUCUCUGGAGAGGGGGCUGGGUGCUCAUGAAUGAUCUAUUGAGCAGAGAAAAAUCUACCUACGCAAGCUAGUGUGAGCAGUUACAAUCACACAGACUUAACCCUUCACAAAAAUGGGAAGAAAACCCAAACCCAACCACUGCAUAAGCAAUGUAUCCAGGGUGCUCCUGACCACUGUGCACCCCCACAGUACUGUCCCAAGGCCCCUGCAUCCCACGUGUGGCACUGGAGAACUGGAGAGAAACUGCACGGCUGUGCUGGGAAUGUCUAACUUGUCCCUUCUGGGAAGGGUCAGAUGCAAGCCUGAAAAUUGGGAAAGUUCAUAUUUACUGCAUACUUCUGUAUACAAGGGCUAUACUAUCAGCAUCUGGAAAAACCUACUUUACCACAGUUAUAAGAACAAGUCUAUAAAGUAAAUGAGAUGUGUCUGAGGCAGAAUUGAGGACAAGAAACAGCCUAAAAAUUACUGUCUCUAGAGUCAUAAGCAAAAUAAAAUGGUUUGGUUUGCUGAAUGAAUAACAUUAUUAAACAAAUAACAAUCUUUAUAUCCAGUCUAUCAAUAGAACACA